GGGAAGAAUGCUGACUAGAGACUUUUUGUCCCUAGCAGAAGCAACAGCCCUGAGCAUAUCCAUGGCAGAAGUUCAAAUGACUCUUUGGAAAUGCCCCAGACAACAAAAGUUUUUAAUCCUGAACAUCAUAAGCCACAUGAAACGGUAAAACUCACAUUUCAUCCUCUUGGAGUUUCACAUGAAGUAAUAAUCCCUACAGCGUUCACAUGACUGCCUUUCUGAACCAGCAGUGCCUCCUACAAACCUCUGUCAGUGUAUACCUUGUCUCUUCCCUCUCCCUUCAUCUCUCACCUCCUGCUUUUUUCUCCGUAUUACAGCCACUUCUCUGGCUUCUUAGCUCCUUCCCUUUACCUAAAACCUCUAGUCUCUUUUCAACUCAGGAAGAUUGAAGAGUUGUGCCAUUUUGUGCUGCUCCGCAAUUGACAUUCUUUGAGAUGUCAACACUUUUCUAUCAUUGAGCAUGGAGUGCUGAACAGUUGAAAUCUGUGAUUCUCCUUGCUAUUCUCCAUGAAGUACAGUCUGAGAGUAAUAGGAGAGCAUCACAGAAAGGCCCGGUAGCUCCUUUCUUGAGAAGCCAGCACUGGCCUGAAUGACUGAAGAAGGAUCUACGGCAUGCAUUUCAAUAGGCAGCUUUGGGCACUUUGCAUGGGUACUCCAACAAACUACAAAACUCCCACCAGAGUCCUUAAGUAAAAAAAAGAUUUCCAGGUCACAACUUACAUGUUAUCAGCUUCCUGCUCAGAAACCCAGGGCUAUGACCUGUGUCAGACUCACGCCAAAAUAUCCAGAACUGCACAAGAAAAAUGAGGAUAUCAGACUCCAUCUCAGAACUCAGGUCUCUAUUCUUCUCUUUAAAGCCUUAAAUGAACCCCAAACUAAGUCAUUAGCUUGA
ensembl:lncRNA